rnacentral:rRNA from 1 species
AAAUAAAGAGUUGGGCCUGCUCGGUGAAUAAUUUUUAACAGCUGCGGUAUUUUAACUGUACUAAGGUAGCAUAAUAAUUUGCCUUAUAAUUUGAGGCUAGAAUGAAUGGUUUGACGAAGGUUAAUCUGUCUCUAUCUUAUUUUUUAGAAUUUAAUUUUUAAAGUGAAAAAGCUUGAAUUUUUUAAAGGGACGAGAAGACCCUAAUGAGCUUAUAAUUUUAUUAUUAUUAUUUAAUAUAUUUAAAUGAUAAUAUAUAAAUUUUAAUUGGGGUGAUUAAGGAAUAAAGAAUUAUAUAAUAACUUCCUUAGAUUAAAUAUAUAUAGAUAAAGUAACCAAUAAUAUAUUGCUUAUAAUAUAGUUACCAUAGGGAUAACAGCGUAAUUUGUUUAGAGAGUUCUUAUUGAAAAACAAGAUUGCGACCUCGAUGUUGGAUUAAAGUAACCUUAAGGUGCAGAAGCUUUAGUAAGGUAAAUCAGUUCGAUUUUUAAUACUUUACAUG